rnacentral:rRNA from 1 species
ACGGAGAUUAUACGCACAGGCGAUUUCAGUCAAAUCAUGUAAAAUCUUAGUGGCGGACGGGUGAGUAACGCGUGGGUAACCUGCCUUACACUGGGGGAUAACACUUAGAAAUAGGUGCUAAUACCGCAUAAGCGCACGAAGCCGCAUGGAUUUGUGUGAAAAACUCCGGUGGUGUAAGAUGGACCCGCGUCUGAUUAGCUUGUUGGCGGGGUAACGGCCCACCAAGGCGACUAUCAAUAGCCGGCCUGAGAGGGUGGACGGCCACAUUGGGACUGAAACACCGCCCAAACUCCUACCGGAGGCAGCAGUGGGGGAUAUUGGACAAUGGGGGGAACCCUGAUCCAGCGACGCCGCGUGAGUGAAGAAGUAUUUCGGUAUGUAAAGAUCUGUCAGCAGGGAAGAAAGAAAUGAAAAAAAAAGACCAUGAAGCCCCGGCUAAGUACGUGCCAGCAGCCGCGGUAAUACGUAGGGGGCAAGCGUUAUCCGGAAUUACUGGGUGUAAAGGGAGCGUAGACGGUUAAGUAAGUCUGGAGUGAAAGGCCGGGGCCCAACCCCGGGACUGCUCUGGAAACUAUUGAACUUGAGUGCAGGAGAGGUAAGCGGAAUUCCUUGUGUNGCGGUGAAAUGCGUNGUUUUUUGGGGGUUCUCCUGUGGCGNUGGCGGCUUGCUGGNCUGUNNCUGNCGUUGNGGCUCGNUGNCGUGGGGNGCCUUUUAAGGGNNNNNNCCCNNNNNNUCCNCNACNNNNNCGGCCUUUAUAAAGUCGGUGGGUAUGGACCCAUCGGUGCCGCAGCAAACGCAGUAAGUAAUCCACCUGGGGAGUACGUUCGCAAGAAUGAAACUCAAAGGAAUUGACGGGGACCCGCACAAGCGGUGGAGCAUGUGGUAUAAUCAGAAGCAACGCGAAGAACCUUACCAAGUCUUGACAUCCUCUUGAAUAAAGGGUAAUGCCUUUAGGCCUUCGGGACAAGAGAGACAGGUGGUGCAUGGUUGUCGUCAGCUCGUGUCGUGAGAUGUUGGGUUAAGUCCCGCAACGAGCGCAACCCUUAUCUUCAGUAGCCAGCAGGUAAAGCCGGGCACUCUGGAGAGACUGCCGGGGAUAACCCGGAGGAAGGUGGGGAUGACGUCAAAUCAUCAUGCCCCUUAUGAUUUGGGCUACACACGUGCUUUUUGGGAGAAAACAGAGGGAAGCGAGCCCGCGAGGGGGAGCAAAUCCCAAAAAUAACGUCCCAGUUCGGAUUGUUUUUUACGACCCGACUACAUGAAGCUGGAAUCGCUAGU